GCCAGCAGCCAUAUCACCCUGCAACUCCCAGCUGGCAGCCCCACUGAAGCUCAACAGGUGUGAGCCUGUUCAGUACCUGGAUGGGAGACCUCCUGGGAAAGUUGAGGCUGCUGCUGGAG
rnacentral:rRNA from 1 species